rnacentral:ncRNA from 1 species
CAAAAGCCUGGUCCUGACUUUAACGUCAGUUACGGCCCAAUUUACACAUGCAAGUAUCCGCACCCCCGUGAGAAUGCCCUUCAUCCCCCAGUACGAGGAGAAGGGGCCGGCAUCAGGCACACCCAACUGGUAGCCCAAGACGCCUUGCUUAGCCACACCCCCAAGGGGACCCAGCAGUGAUAGACAUUAAGCCAUGAGCGAAAGCUUGACUUAAUUAAGGCCCAAACCAAUAGAGCCGGUAAAACUCGUGCCAGCCACCGCGGUUAUACGAGAGGCUCAAAUUGACACUUUUCGGCGUAAAGUGUGACUAGAGAACAAAACACCCUAAAGCCAAACACCCCCUAAGCUGUCAUACGCAACUGGGUUUAUGAAGCUCCAUAACGAAAGUAGCUUUAAUUAAUAAAUCUUGAACUCACGACAGUUAAGAAACAAACUGGGAUUAGAUACCCCACUAUGCUUAACCAUAAACAACGAUGACAAUAUACAAACAUCAUCCGCCAGGGGACUACGAGCGCCAGCUUAAAACCCAAAGGACUUGGCGGUGCCUUAAACCCACCUAGAGGAGCCUGUUCUAUAACCGAUAACCCCCGUUAAACCUCACCACUCCUUGUCAACCCCGCCUAUAUACCGCCGUCGCCAGCUUACCUUAUGAAAGCACGAUAGUAAGCCAAAUGGGCACCACCCAAAACGUCAGGUCGAGGUGUAGCGAAUGGAGUGGGAAGAAAUGGGCUACAUUUUCUGACCCAGAAUAUUACGAAAAGUGACAUGAAAACAACACUAAUGAAGGUGGAUUUAGCAGUAAAAGGAAAAUAGAGUGUUCCUUUGAAGCCGGCUCUGAGGCGCGUACACACCGCCCGUCACUCUCCUCAAAAAGAAACACAAAACAUCUAUAAACCCCAAAACACAGAAAGAGGAGACAAGUCGUAACAUGGUAAGUGUACCGGAAGGUGCACUUGGAUAAAACU